GGGGGGGGGGGGGGGGGGGGGGGGGGGGGGGGGGGGGGGGGGGGGGGGGGGGGGGGGGGGGGGGGGGGGGGGGGGGGGGGGGGGGGGGGGGGGGGGGGGGGGGGGGGGGGGGGGGGGGGGGGGAGGGAGCGGCGCCGCCCACAGCGCCGCCCCUCGCCCGCGUCAGCGCUGCGGGGGCACCGCCCCGCCCGCCUGCAAGGGGCCGGCAGCGCGGCCGGCGCGGCCCCGGUUAAUGGGAUUGUAACAAUCCGGGGCGAUUACUGCAGAGCGGCCAUCGGGGCCAUUAACACGGCUGUGCUUGCCGCCAGGCGCCGCGGACCCGCCGUGAGGGGCGGGCGGCGCCCGGGGGGGGGGGGGGGGGGGGGGGGGGGGGGGGGGGGGGGGGGGGGGGGGGGGGGGGGGGGGGGGGGGGGGGGGGGGGGGGGGGGGGGGGGGGGGGGGGGGGGGGGGGGGGGGGGGGGGGGGGGGGGAGCUGGAGAAGCCCAGAGAGCCAAGGCACAGGAUGAGCUCUGCGGUGGAAGCUGUGUCCGACACCGAGAAUAAAAAGAUCUUCACCAAAACACUAACUGGAAAUGUCAUCUUCUGCAACAACAACACUUUUCUGGCAAAUAGGAAUGAACUCAAAGAACUCUGGAAAGUUAUGUCUAUAUUGUGAGUAUUAAUGAUGCUGUUUUCUAAGUCCUUUUAAAACUUACUAUUUUGUGAGAAAAAAAACAGCCUGCAAGCUGAAAUGGAGACCAAAGUACAACAGAGCCUCUCUACAGAAACUUGAGAAGUAAGAAAAAAGCAUGGAAAGACCCCUGAUCAACAUAUUGUAAAAAAGUAAUAAAAAAACUACAGUGCAAGGUGGAAAGAACGAAAUAAUUAUCAGUCUGUGACUGAAGAUAAAGGAGAAGACAAUUCUCCUUUGGAGGAGAAAAGGGAGAAAGCCACAUUGGCAAAGAGAAAUCUGUUUGGAAACAAUGGCACAGACUGACGCAUAACUUGGAACAUCCCUGACAACUCUUACUGAACCGUAGCAAACCUGAAAUCAUUCUGCAAACCCUGUCAAUAGCAAACUGAAAGACUUUACCCCUUCAUCCCUUCCCAAGAAAAUUAUACACUGAGGUCUUACUAAACAUAAAAACAGAAAUGCAGCAAAGUCCUAGUUAAUGUUAUCUUCAAAUAAAGACCUAUAAAUUAUAGAAUAUGCAGCAGAAAAGUCAUUAUGAACAUCUAGACUUGGGCCUUUCCCAGAGCCAUUCUGAGAAGCAAUUUUAAUUUUCCAUCUCACAGCCUCUUUAAGUUCAGCGAGUACAACGUGGUUUCUUUUUUUGCUGCUGAUGACGUAAGUUUGGAUAAUGGAGUUUAUUGUCAGCUCAGAUCAGAGUAAUUUUCUGAUAAUCAGAAUUAGCCUUAACUAUGAAAUCUACAAACGUACAAAUAUUUUGGGUCUCUCCAUGAAAGAAAACUCUGAAUUUAAAAUUUCCCAGCUGUUUUAUUUGCAUUAAAUCAUACCAGAUAGUCAUUAAAAAACCAACUCUAUGGUGACAAGACUAACAUUUUAAACUGGAGUCACAGAUACUAAAGUAAUGAAAGUGAGAUUUAUGACUGGCAGCUAAAAUGUUACUAAUCUUACAAGGAAAUAUUUUCUGUGACCUACCUUUUUUCUUCCUACUGCUUAAAGCACAACUCAGUUUCUAACAUGGAGGUAACCUGGCACAGUUAAAUAAAUGGUGCAGAAAAACUGUACCUGUCUGGUGUCAACAAAUGACAUGUGGAUAUUUAUUUUGAUUCUCUGACAGCCAUUUAUAACUCUCCUAAAUUAUGAGAAGUACAUGGGCU
rnacentral:lncRNA from 1 species